CCUACGGGCGGCAGCAGUGGGGAAUAUUGGACAAUGGGCGAAAGCCUGAUCCAGCCAUGCCGCGUGUGUGAAGAAGGCCUUCGGGUUGUAAAGCACUUUCAGUGGGGAAGAAAGCCUUGGGGCUAAUACCCUCGAGGAAGGACAUCACCCACAAAAGAAGCACCGGCUAACUCCGUGCCAGCAGCCGCGGUAAUACGGAGGGUGCGAGCGUUAAUCGGAAUUACUGGGCGUAAAGCGCGCGUAGGCGGUCUGAUAAGCCGGUUGUGAAAGCCCCGGGCUCAACCUGGGAACGGCAUCCGGAACUGUCAGGCUAGAGUGCAGGAGAGGAAGGUAGAAUUCCCGGUGUAGCGGUGAAAUGCGUAGAGAUCGGGAGGAAUACCAGUGGCGAAGGCGGCCUUCUGGACUGACACUGACGCUGAGGUGCGAAAGCGUGGGUAGCAAACAGGAUUAGAUACCCUAGUAGUC
rnacentral:rRNA from 1 species